AUUGAACGCUAGCGGCAUGCUUUACACAUGCAAGUCGAACGGAGUCGCGGACGGGUGAGUAAUAUAUCGGACCGUGCCCAGUAGGGGGGGAUACCUUCUCGACAGUGUGGCUAAUCCCGCAUCCUCUGAGAUCGGCCGAUAUCGGAUUAGCUAGUUGGGGGGGUAAAGGCUCACCAAGGCAACGAUCCGUAGCUGGUUUGAGAGGACGACCAGCCACACUGGGACUGAGACACGGCCCAGACUCCUACGGGAGGCAGCAGUGGGGAAUUUUGGACAAUGGGGGAAAGCCUGAUCCAGCCAUCCCGCGUGUAUGAUGAAGGCCUUCGGGUUGUAAAGUACUUUUGGCAGAGAAGCGGUAUCUGCAGAAGAAGCACCGGCUAACUACGUGCCAGCAGCCGCGGUAAUUC
rnacentral:rRNA from 1 species